UACAUAGGCAGCGAGCGUUGUUCGGAAUUACUGGGCGUAAAGGGUGUGUAGGCGGUUCUCUAAGUUUGGUGUGAAAUCUCCCGGCUUAACCGGGAGGGUGCGCCGAAAACUGGGGACUAGAGUGCGGGAAGGGAGAGUGGAAUUCCUGGUGUAGCGGUGAAAUGCGUAGAUAUCAGGAGGAACACCGGUGGUGUAGACGGCUCUCUGGACCGUAACUGACGCUGAGACACGAAAGCGUGGGUAGCAAACAGG
rnacentral:rRNA from 1 species